GCGGGGUCGGCCGGCCGCCUUCGCUGCUCCGCCGCGGCUCUCAGCGCCGCUCAGCGCGGCGGGCCCGCCCGGGCUCAGGUGCCCCCCGCUCUCCGGACCUUCUCGCCCGGCCCCGCGUCCCCUCCGCGGGCUUCCCCCGGCGGCCGGCCGGGCUCGGAGGCUCGCGGCCGGAGCGGAGCGGAGUGCGCACGCCGGGGUGGCAGGACUUCGGCAAGACCAACUUUCCGUGGUCCUGUCUGGUGUGAACCGUCAGCACAGAUGGCCUCCUGGAGCUUCCCCGAGUCGUUCGCUGGGGGAAGCGGGCGGUGAGCGGCCAGCCCGGGCGCUCCGCAGGCCGCGAGCUCCCGGCAGGGCUGGUGGCGGGGGUCCGCCUGGGGGAGGAAUCCCCGCCUGCUCCAUCGGACCCGGCCUGGCGCGGCUCGCGGCGCUCGGCGGGCUCCCUUCCAUUCUAGAAUCUUCCCGCUUGCUUCCCAGCCCGCGUUCUUCCGCCUGCCUUUAAUUGUGUAAGUUUGACGAAGUCAGAGCUUUGGGUUCCAGGAAAAGCGCAGGAGGGUCAUAGAGGAAGGGAGGGCGCAGGUUGGAGUCAGGUCCAAACAGUCCCUAUCGCCACUUUUGAAAAAAAAAAAAAACAACAAAAACCCUUAAGGUUGGUUUUAUUUUGCCUUUUGGUAGCGGGCGUAUUCAUUUAGAUUUUUUUUUCAAGACAGGCAAAUAAAAGGUGUUUGAAAUCUCUAGUUAUCCCGUUUAACACACCCAUCGAUGGCGCUUUUCUAGUUAAGCUACGGGGGAAACGUCUUUAUCCCGCAGUUAGGCUGCGAACUUGUGCAGAUGCUCAGGCUUUGUGGAGACGCUCCGGCAUCUGGCGCAGAGGCGCCCGGCGGGGAAAAGUUUGCAGCCCGGGCUUUGGGGCGCGCGGGGGGCAGGAAUUUUUCUGAGAAGAGAGGGGCAUAGAGAGGCGGCGCGGGUGGGGAGAGAAAAAAGGAACGCAGGGGGGAGGGGGAAAAGCAGCUUGCAGGAUGGGAGUUUCUUGCAGAAUUUACAGGAUUAAGGAGUUUGGGGAAGUCGCAGAGCUGCAGCGGAAAGGCAGGGGUCUGAGACUACUUUUGAGAAGAGAAACAACGCAAAACGAUCGCUGGAGGGCCAGAGCCCUGGUCGAAGAAGCAGACACAGGUUCCCACGGCGUCUGACGCCUGCGGAGCAAGUCCAGAGCCAGCUGGACUCGCAGCCUCUGGCCCGGCGGCACCAACUCCUCACUGGGUCAUUUUGAGCGCGCUGUGCCCACCUUUUCUGUUGCGUGUGGACGUGGGGAGGAUCUUCUAAGUCCCUCCAACGAAGGCAAGUGUGAGACUCUGGCCCUUUAUUUGUAAGAAGCAAGCCUUCAGAUUGCAGAAGUGUCGCGCGGGUCGCCGUGCGUUGCGCGAGUGGGAAGAUGGAGGAGGCCGGCACGCUGCUUUCGUGGACGCAAGUGAACCGGGCGUGAAGGCAGGGUGCGAGCUCUGCCCUUGGCCCAGCCCUGCGUGGGCGCCGUCCCAGAUUCCGGGCGGUGCGGGGUGCAGAGAUCUGGAGAGACUUGCGGGCUCCCCAGCGCAGGCUGCUCUGGGAUUUCGUUGGAAGAUCCGGCAGAGCCUUGGAGGAGAGGGCCCGGGAGGCUGUGUGUGCAGCGGAAACUUGUACGAAUGCCCCCACAGCGGAAAUGGUGCGCACGAGUAAUUUCUGCGGUGCACCCUUUUAAAAAUUGACAAGUGAACAAGAUCAAUUUUUUAAGAAAGCAAAGGUAGAAAACAAAAGGCGUGCGACUUCUUGACUGGCUUGUUCCCGCCUUUCUUCCUUCUCUAUACUCAGAUCAGAAACUUUUCUUUAAUUGCUCUUAUUCAGUGCGACAACUUUUAAUAAAAGCAUUUGCAUUUUAAGCCUGAGUUGCAACCAUAGAUUUAUUGCGAAGUGACAACGUGUCUAUGGAAUAUUUUCGCAGAUGAGACAGGACAUGCGCUCUAGUCGUGCCCAGAUUAAAGCGACGCUGGGCCAUGUGCCUGUGUAGUGCAGACUCGGAGGGGCACACACAUACUCGUCACCACAUGACCACUGUCUAUUAAUAUUGUCAUACCUAAACACUCGCAAAAACAAAAGUUGCUUUUCUUCCCUGUAAUUAAAUCUAAUUUG
rnacentral:lncRNA from 1 species